rnacentral:lncRNA from 12 species
CAGGUUCUCAUCUUGUAUACACCUUUGGGCCAAGGGGAACUGCAAGGAUACAUUUCUGUGACAUUAUGUCACUCAUUCUGUGAUAGCUGAAAUGUGGAUAGCCCUGGGGAUUCCACAGUGGCUACAGGCACAGUUCAACAAUAAAAAGUUAUCAGAGGCUAAUAACUAGAGAUCCAAAGGUGAGGAAGACACAGUCGCUGUCUUCUGAAAGUUUUAGAGCUAUGAAUGAGGCAGACGGUGCUGGAGGAAGUCACGAAAGAAUCUCUGAAUCAGAUGGGAUUUCACCCACCCUCACAGGCCAGAUGACUUGUGCUAUCAUCUAUCAAAUCAAAGAGUGCUCCAGGCUUGCUAAAUGCGACAUGAGAUGGCCUCAUGCAGCUCAAGCACAGAAAAGCUCUGAAGCUGGAUUAAACAGAAGUAAACUACAAUGGGUAUGGAAGAGACUGUCCCCAGGGGUACAGAUGACAGAACGAAGCAUGCAUACUGGGCAGAUAACUGAAGGGACGCUCAGACGCCAGAGGAGACAAAGGCUCUGCCCUUUACCGACAUGCAGGCUUUGCCGGCUGCUGGGCUUCCCUCCCGCACAGGGAGCCUGGCACCUAUGCCUGCUCUCUGCCCCACUCCUGGUUUCUUUCCUGGGCUGA